CGCACAUUGCGCCCUUUGGUAUUCCGAAGGGCAUGCCUGUUCGAGCGUCAUUAUCACCCCUCAAGCCCGGCUUGAUGUUGGACGUCCGGUCGUGUUGACUCACGACCCGUCCCAAAGACAAUGACGGCGUCCAGAGGACCCUCGGUACAUUGAGCUUCAACCAGCACGUACUCGAGUUAAGGGACUCUGGACCCGGUCACACCUCAUUAUUUUAUCAGGUUGACCUCGGAUCAGGUAGGAAUACCCGCUGAACUUAA
rnacentral:misc_RNA from 1 species